GGAGAACUGACUUCAUACAUCCACGAAAAUCACCAAAACACCAGCAGAUUCAAAGUGAGACUUCAACCGUGAGGAAAAGUGACAUUAGUCGAGAGAAAAGUCCCGCAGCAUCUGAGAGGUUUUAAAGGGUGAUGCGUACUCUGGCUGUGACAUCAUCAUCCUGUGGAGGGACUUUGAGAGGAUUCAGAUCAUCCCAGAAGCCAAACACGGGAACAUCCAGAUUAUUGCUGAUGUGAGGAAGCAGUGAGGAAUCCGCUAUAUAGUGAUCAUGCUCUCUGCCCUUUAACCUCUCAAAUCUGAAUAUAUACGCCAAUGAAUCUAAUUUUAUAUCGAGUAUGAAGAGAUCUGGAAUAUACUUGACUGUAUUUAAUGAGAAAAUAAAUUACUUAAUGCAA